UAACGCGUGAGGAACCUGCCUUGAAGAGGGGGGAAACAGUUGGAAACGACUGCUAAUACCGCAUAAGCCCACAGCUCGGCAUCGAGCAGAGGGAAAAGGAGUGAUCCGCUUUGAGAUGGCCUCGCGUCCGAUUAGCUAGUUGGUGAGGUAAUGGCCCACCAAGGCGACGAUCGGUAGCCGGACUGAGAGGUUGAACGGCCACAUUGGGACUGAGACACGGCCCAG
rnacentral:rRNA from 1 species